AACGCACAUUGCGCCCGCCAGUAUUCUGGCGGGCAUGCCUGUCUGAGCGUCAUUUCAACCCUCGUAACCAGCUUGCUGGAUGCGGUGUUGGGGAUCGGCCACCCGUUCUGGGCGGCCGUCCCUUAAAUAGAGUGGCGGUUGCGCUGUGACCUCCUCUGCGUAGUAGCAAUAUCUCGCAGGCGGAUAGCGGUGUAACCACGCCGUAAAACCCCCAACUCUUCUUUGGUUGACCUCAGAUCAGGUAGGAAUACCCGCUGAACUUAA
rnacentral:misc_RNA from 1 species